AAACAGCGUGCGGCAGUGCGCCUGUCUGCAUCAACUCCUACCUGGCCAAGCUACAGAGUGUGUCCACCUCACUAGACCUUGCAAGAAAAUAUUGCCCAUAUUCUGAGGAGUUGGUUGGUUGUUUGAUGAGAUCAAGUUGUGUUAUACAACAAAUCAAUCAACUUGUGGACUCAAUAUCAAAGGAAGAGCUGUUUAAUAGACAAAUCUAUUGCGAACUAGAUAUCUAUAAAGGUACUAGUGAUGGUGGGGUGACACAGAUCGCACUUACCGCCAUGGUUUUUGUUACAGUUUUCAACCUCUUGAACGUAUUUGACAUGUAGAGUUAUAGGCCUACUGCAUAUUUAGACAAGAUCUUGUGUAGCUAUUUAUUAUUGGCACAAAGUUGUUAGUAAUUAUUUACAUCAAUACCUGACAAGGUGUACCUUAUAUUAUGUAAAGUUAAAAAAAAAACAUUUAAACAUUAGGUGUUUUAUCAAGAAGACUGUUUUUACAAUGAGAUAUUUGAACAAAUGGAAUGUUUAUUUUGAGAAAACAAUCAGCAAAGUUGAUAGAAAGUGAUAAAUUGAUUGGGAAUCUAUUUUUAUUAACAUGUGUAAAGCUAUUAUUUUAACUAAUAACAACAAUUAUAGUAAACA